GACUAUUAAUGGAGCAGAAGUGUCUAUUCUCCCAUUGUUUUGUUUGGAAGGAUGUUUUAUCCCUCAUAACAACCUACUUUGAAUAUAUACGUGGUAAAAAAAGAGGCCAUAUCUGUUCAAUUUUGAUUUCGGAUUAUGACAUGAUUUUAUAUAAGCAGUCAAAAAGAGGUUCCUUUCUUCCUAAAAGAUAAAACCCUUUUUUUUAUUUGAGAUCCAAAAUCAAGUGGAAAGCUCUAAAAGAUUGCAACAAUCUAAUCCAACUGUGCCUUUUUGAAGAAUUCUAAUUCUUCAAAAGAGAAAGUCAUCCUUUUUCUUACCUCUUCUAGAUGCAUUGAAGACCCAAGUGGGCACCUCCUAGAUACAGCUAGACACACCUUUUUAGAAGAACUUUUUAGCAUGCAUGAUUGGAUAAUCUAUUUGGAAUGCAUGUCUAAGAGUCUAAAAACCCUUCACUAGCACGUAUAAAAAUAUAUUUUGAAGUCCUUGGAAAGUCAUUCCAAACAGGCCUAAAGUCCUAAUAUCAUUGAAUCUUGAAAGACCAGCUGCCAAAAUGCUUUACUAUGGAAGUAUCCUCUAUUCGUGUUCAUUUGCCUCAAGAGAUGAAUUGGACAAAGUGUCCGUUUAAUAAGACUUCAAAUUGUUGGUUGAAGAUGCCAACAACCCUAUUGUCAUGAUAUGGAUAUUGGGUCUUUUAUUUCUUAUAUUCAUCCCCUAGCCACUAUUUUUUCUCUCUUCGGGAUAUUUCUAGACAUAGAACUUAAUAGCUCAUGUGUCAUGACCUAGCAAAGUGUUUCUUUGCUUCAUUUUAGUUUUGUUUAGUUGAAUGCUUAUUGGACUUGGAGUCCAUUUAGAGCCUUUGCAAUCACCCCCUUAGUAUUGUUAAGAGCGAGCCGGAGUAUCCAUUGUCUCUUAGUUUUGAAUGGAAGGAUGAUUUAACCCUCACAAGUCACAACCACACGUUUUGAAUUCUCAAUAAUGGAAAAAAGGGCCAGGCCGAGUUUUACCGUACCACCAUACCACCAUACCACCAUAGACAUCUAAUAUAAUGUACAUAAUAAUGAAGGGGGAAAAGGGAUAGAAUUGUAGAGCAUGCAUUAGCAUCAAAACGAAAUAGGGAAUGAAAACCAAACAAUGAAGUACAUGGCAGGCAACAAAAAGUAAUAAAUAAGCUUUCAUCAACCAGCAAAAUGAAAAACACACCAGAAAAAAAAAACUAAAAAGAACCAGCAUGUAUCCCAGAAACUAAUUCUAGUUUGGGGGGAUCCAUUGCAAUUCAAUUCCAUAUUUCCAGGUUUCAACUGGAUCGCCAGGCUUAAAAUUGACCACGGAAGUAUAAGCAGUGCACCCUCCUAUUCUGACUCUUAUCAUGUGGGCAGUCAUGGCUGAAUCUUUCAAGUACGUACAGCAAAGGGUGUUCUUGCACCCACUUGCUUCUAUCAUUUUCUCCUCAAACUGCCUACAAGGGCUGUUUAUUGAACAAUUCAGGGGCGAGUUUAUAAGAUUAUUUGAGCAGUUUAAGAGCAUGACAGUGUUGUGUGUAGAAACAUUGAAAGGUAAAUUUUCAUCUAGCCUUAAACCUCCUAAAGAGAGAUCAGAAGAGAAACAUCUCCCAUUCUGUAUUUCGGGUGGGCUUAUAAUAAGCUUAUAAGCAUUAGGAUCAAUGGAAUGAAUAUUAUAGUAAAACCCUUCACUUGACUUGAACUGAAGAAUAUCAUCAUUGCAAUGAACUUUGUACCUAGAGUCUCCACAGUUGUCAUUUGUGCUAAGCGGAUAAGGGACUUCAAGAUUUCCACAUUUGGAACAAGCCGAAAAAGCUAUUGCUUUAGAUAAUUGAAAAAAGAGAGCAAAUAUAAUAAACAUGGUCUUCUUGAUAUUUUUCAUUUAGGAAGGAGUGAAGAGAUUCCAAUAGAGAAAUACAGUGUGCUCAGAGCCAAAUGUCUAUUUAUAGAAAGCGAAAAGUUGCCUAUGCAUAAAUAAUAGCAACAUGGAGAAUAACAGAAAAGUACGGAAACCAAUGGACUAAGACAUCCAAUCUUAGUGGGUUCUCUUUUAUGAAAUAUAUAAUUCCCUUUAUAACACGCAUGAAAACAAAUGUCAGUGCACAAAGUAAAUAUAUACAGCUUAAUCAUGAGGAGUUAAAAAAAUCAAACUUACCAAAAGAUGCAUCGAGUGGAAAUCUAAACACUAGUUUUUAAACUAAUCAACCUACAUGACCUAGAAGGAAUUUUCCCCUCCUUGCUCCCCUUCCUUCCUUCCUUCCCUCCUUCCCUCCUUCCCUCCCAUCUUUAUUACUAUUUUUUUUCUUUUUUUCUUUUAUGAAAUCAACAACCUUCCUUACCAUCUUUAUUUUAUUCUAUUUCUUGUCCUAACAUCAAAGAAAAGCAAGCAGCAAAGAGAAAACAAGAAUUUUAUAGCACCAUGUUGAAUAUCACAAUUUUUUUAUAAGAAACAAUGUUUUCAUUAUUGAGAUAUGUAAAAGGAUAUACAAGAGCAUGAAGAAAACAAGUCCAAGAACAAAAAAAAAACUCCAAUCCAAAACAACAAAAUCAAACUGAUAAUUCCAAAAAGCCAUUAAGAAACGCCUAAAGCACCUGGUUGAAUAUAUCAUUAUAUCUAUGGACACGCCUAGAAUCUUAUUCAAGAUACAGCUGAAAGAUAUGAGCACAUAAUUAAACACAAUAAGAAAAAAAAACACAAAGAUGAUCUGAUAAACAAGUCUUCUAUUUUCACUUUUGAACCUUUUGCUUGAUCUUUUAUUCUUGAUAUCAGGUGGUUGUUGUACAAGGAAAAGUUAUUGGAGCCAACAGCUGUCAAAAGAACUAUGAACCGUAUCCCACUUUCUUUUUUUAGACAUCUUUGUGGUACAAAGUUGCCUUUUGAGUUUUGAGUGGCUCCAAUUCUCCAAGUGGGAUGGCCUCCUCUAUCUCUCCUCAGUUAUUAAAGAUCCCAAUUAUAAACAUAAUGCUUUUUCAUUACCUUCCAGCUUCCACAUAUGGACUCUUAGUAAUUAAUAAUAAUACAAACUUUCAUGGUGGACAACUGACUGGCUAACAGCACUCACAAACAAAUAAAGAAAUAGCCAAAACGUUCCAAAUGUCGGAUGAUAAUGCGUACGAAGAUUAUUCUAUAUCCUUGAUCCUCAAAUUUACAGGCGAUCCAAGUCAGGCUAACUUGAACAAUCUCUAGAAUCUCAUAAACAUGUGUAAUCCGCAAAAUGACGGUUAUAAUCUAAGAUACUUUGAAUCAAAUAACAACAAGAACCUCAUGGAUUUCAAGCAGGAAUUAGAAAACACCAAUACUCUCUCUAGAAACUAUAGUCAGUGAGGAAAAGGUGAACACGAACUCUCCCGAUGAUAAAUAUUCAUACAUUGAUGAUUAAUAGCUACACGAACUGCAUUUUUUUCAUCGAUCAAUCAAGAGUUAGUUCAACAGCAGCUACAAGACGAUACACAGGAAAAAUGGAGAAUACCGGGAAAAGUCUAGAUGCUUGGUGAAGCUCUACAAUCGAACUCGUUUUCGAAAAAACAAAACAAAAAAAAAAGCUUAUUGUAAGAGCGAAAAGCGCAAUAACGAGAGGCUGAGACGCCGGACAGGAAGGCGGAGCAGAACGGGGCCGGCGAUGGUCCGUGGAAUGGUACAUUUACGUGCAAAUGUUAAUCCUGGAUUGGUUGUGUUGUAGCAACAUAGCAACAUAAAAUUGUUGGGGGCAUCAGCAAAUUUUGAAGCUGAGUCCCAACCAUAAAAGGCAAUUUGGAAUAUAUUUUAACCAAAUUCUAUUAGCAAACAAGUUAGGCAAAAUACAAAUAUUUGAAAAAUCACCUCUCACUUGUGAGUCUGAUAUUGAAUGGUUAGUAUUUUCCCAGUUGUUCAAUAUUGGAUUGUGUUGCAUCUAUGUCCAAUUCACGUUUUUAGAAAAUGUUGAUUGUGCUAAUGCUAGAGCGGCAUUUGGUGGACUUUGUGACAAUUAUCUUCCAGUCUUUAGCUACCCUCAGAAACGGGAAGUAG
rnacentral:lncRNA from 1 species